UACGAAGGGGGCUAGCGUUGCUCGGAAUCACUGGGCGUAAAGGGUGCGUAGGCGGGUCUUUUAAGUCAGGGGUGAAAUCCUGGAGCUCAACUCCAGAACUGCCUUUGAUACUGAAGAUCUUGAGUUCGGGAGAGGUGAGUGGAACUGCGAGUGUAGAGGUGAAAUUCGUAGAUAUUCGCAAGAACACCAGUGGCGAAGGCGGCCUGCUGGGCUGUUGCUGACGCUGAGGCGCGACAGCGUGGGGAGCAAACAGG
rnacentral:rRNA from 1 species